UCUAAUCAUCCAAGAAGCCUACUCUCCUGGAUCACCGUUGGCUUUUUCCUCCUGGAAUACCGAAUAGAUUAAAAAUGUAUUAUUUGGGCACCUGGGUUGUUACGGAAAUCAUUAUCAUUCAUUUGACAAGUGGCAAACCUGUUGACAACCAGGAGAGCUUAGGGGCAAUGAAAAACUCUCACAGAUAUUCUGGAGAUCUUGGAAUUCCAGAGGAAGAGGCCCAUUUCCACUUCAAGGCUUUCUUAGAGAACCUGAAAGCUGAUUUCCUGAGAAACCUGAACUUAUCAGAAAUACCUUCACAAGAGAAGACGAAAGAGGAACCGCCCCAAGUCAUGAUUGAUCUGUAUAACAGAUAUACCAAGGACAAAUCUUCCAGCCCCAUAUCCAACAUUGUGCGCAGCUUCAGUCCUGAAGACAUUGUUUCUCUCUCUUCAUCGGACACGGCUCCAUUUCAGAAAUACAUCUUGCUUUUCAAUAUCUCUGUCCCGUGGCACGAAGAAGUAACUAGAGCUGAGCUAAGAAUCCACACUACAUGUCAGAAGGAAGCAGAAUGUGUGUCUCAGUUUGAAGGGAACAUGGCUCUUUAUCAUGUUCUUGAAGAAAAUGAGUGGGAAAAACCCAACGGCCUCAAAUCAUUCCUAGUUUCUAAAAAAAUUCAAGAAUGUGGCUGGGUGAUCUUUGACAUGUCCAGCACUGUGAAAAGAUGGAUCAAAGCACCAAAACCGAGGGCUAAUAGUCAGCUGGAGAUUGCUGUGGAAAGUAGUGUUCAAAGUGAUCUUGCCUGUGGGAAGCUGCACAUGAGUGUUGCAUCUGACUCCAACCAUUUGCCCUUGCUGAUAGUAUUCUCCAACGACCACGGCAACAGGGUCAAGGAAGACCAUAUGGAGCUUCAAGAAAUGAUGGUGCAUGAGCAGGAGAGUGUGCUGAGGAAUUUAAUAAAAAACGACACUGCCCACAAAGAGAAUUCUUUAUCCAUCCAUGGCAUCCAUCAUCCUCCAUCGAGGAACAAACGGAGUGCUGAACGGAACCACUGCCGAAGAACCUCUAUGCAUGUGAACUUCAAAGAAAUUGGCUGGAAUUGGAUCAUUAUACCUCAAGAUUAUGAGGCCUUUGAGUGCAAAGGUGGCUGUUUCUUUCCUUUGACUGAUAACGUAACCCCAACCAAGCAUGCAAUUGUCCAGACCUUGGUGCACUACAAGAACCCAAAGAAAGCCGCCAAAGCCUGUUGUGUCCCCACUAAGCUGGAUCCGAUUUCUGUGCUUUACAAAGAUGAUGCUGGAAUCCCCACUCUGAAAUACCAAUAUGAGGGAAUGAAAGUAGCAGAAUGCGGCUAUUGCUUUAAAAAUGCUCAGCCUCCAAGAACCUGCAAACCUAUAGCCACAUCCCUGUUUCAUAGCUAUGCCAGCACAAUGGGAGCAAUAUAACCAAGCAAUGGCUGAUCGUCACUAAUCAAAGUGUUUCUGCUUCAGUUUCAGUUCAAUUUCACAUGACUGUUGCUGCCUUGGCUACAGAAAUUGACAAUUGACAGAGUUUGGUGGAAUCUACUUUGUUUGGCUGCAUGAAGGAAAAGUUGACAGACCUCUCAUUCCUGCUCAUAACAUGCAACUCCUAAGUGACAAGCAGCUCUGAGAAGUGGCAUAUUCAAGUAAAAGAGGUCUCUGUCCAACCCGACUUCCAUUUCUUUAUGCAUGGAUUGUGUUCUUCCUUUAAAGUUAUAUCAAGCUUCUAUUUUAUGUGCCAACUGCUAGAGUGUUUUGAAACAUAGCUUUAUAAAUAAGGC